rnacentral:lncRNA from 1 species
UUUGGUACAUUAAACAGAGAGCUUGUCUGGCCACAAGGCCAGCUCUAUAAUUAGCUAGUCUAGGGAUACAUUUAAAUUCAACAGCAGUAAAUAGAACAGAUAGAAGGUGGAUGUCGUUGAGAAGAACAGCGAUCUCUAAAUGUUUUCCUCUUGAAUUCACAAGGUUAAUGAGAAUCUAAGAGUCUGAAAAGAUCAAAAGAGCGUUAAUCCAGCACUGAAGAGCAGAGAUCAUGGCGUUUCGUAACGCCAAAGUUUCCGCAGUAAGAGACGAUGCCACAAAGGAGGCAGUCGCUGAAAAAAGUCUUUUCUGGAAAGGAAGAAAGACAAAAGUGAUAUCUUCCCUCAUGGGAAGGAGGAUGAAGAUGAUCUCUCCCA